UUUUCCCUCCGACCCCAGAGCCCUGUCGCUCCCGCCGGUGCUCGCCCGAGUCUGGGGAGAGGGAGCUGAUCCCCACUCGCAGCCAAGAUGCCCAAGAGGAAGGUCAACUCCGCAGAAGGGGACCUAAAGGAGGAGCCCAAAAGGAGGUCGGCAAGAUUGUCAGCUAAACCAGUCCUUGCAAAGGUUGAACCUAAGCCCAAAAAGACAGGUGGAAAGGUAAGAUUUUUGUACCUGAAAAGAACCUAGAAAUUGUUGGAUAGUAUUUAAAUUAUGAAUUUGAAUUCAUCUUUGCUGCUUCUCUUCCCGC
rnacentral:lncRNA from 1 species